GUAGCAGGUACAAUUACAGUGCUUUGUUUUGUGGAAGUACUGCCAUUAUCCUGCUGAAAAGUCACACUGAUUGUGUUUGAGUUUUGCUUUUAUGAGGAUAAAAUCAUGACAGUUUGAUGGGGAUAAUU
rnacentral:snoRNA from 1 species